GACGAACGCUGGCGGCGUGCUUAACACAUGCAAGUCGAACGGAAAGGCCCUGCCUUUGUGGGGUGCUCGAGUGGCGAACGGGUGAGUAACACGUGAGUAACCUGCCCUUGACUUUGGGAUAACUUCAGGAAACUGGGGCUAAUACCGGAUAGGAGCUCCUGCUGCAUGGUGGGGGUUGGAAAGUUUCGGCGGUUGGGGAUGGACUCGCGGCUUAUCAGCUUGUUGGUGGGGUAGUGGCUUACCAAGGCUUUGACGGGUAGCCGGCCUGAGAGGGUGACCGGCCACAAUGGGACUGAGAUACGGCCCAGACUGCUACGGGAGGCAGCAGUGGGGAAUAUGGCAGAAUGGGCGGAAGCCUGAUGCAGCAACGCCGCGUGCGGGAUGACGGGCUUCGGGUUAUAAACCGCUUUCGCCUGUGACGAAGCGUGAGUGACGGUAAUGGGUAAAGAAGCACCGGCUAACUACGUG
rnacentral:rRNA from 1 species